rnacentral:rRNA from 1 species
GAUGAACGCUGGCGGCGUGCCUAAUACAUGCAAGUCGAGCGCCCCUUUAAGAGUUGAUAAUCGAAAGAUUGUCGGUUCCUAUGGGGAGCGGCGGACGGCUGAGUAACGCGUGGGAACGUGCCCCAAAGUGAGGGAUAAGCACCGGAAACGGUGUCUAAUACCGCAUAUGAUCUUCGGAUUAAAGCUUUAUGCGCUUUGGGAGCGGCCUGCGUCCUAUUAGAUAGUUGGUGAGGAAAGGCUCACCAAGUCAACGAUGGGUAGCUGGUCUGAGAGGAUGACCAGCCAGACUGGAACUGAGACACGGUCCAGACUCC